AAAAACUGAUAAACCACUCCUCUAUACAAAACACACAAAUCCCUCUCACUGUCUUCGAAUUUUGCUUUCAAAUUUCUCUAAAAAAAAUCCUUCUAGAAAACCUCUCUCUCUCAAACAAACCCUAACUGUGUCUUAAAGCAGAGCAUGAACAGAAAUAUUUCUCAUCCAGUUUCACUUUUAAGGAACAUGACAACCGCCUUCAGGUUCUUCCCCAAUUUCCUAUAUAUUUCCUUUGAGGCAUGUUGUAUAUAUUUGGUUUAGUAAUCAAAUUUUCAGCUCAAGUAACAACCUACGUAAUGAUUCUUGUUUCAGAGUUUUCAAAAUUAUGUUCUAUAGGUAUAUUGCGCUUUCGUUUCAUAUGAAAAAAUUCAUCGUAAUCUUGUUGCCUAUGUUUUCUGCUUUAAAGAAGACAGUAGACAGACAAGGUUGGGUUCAAGAAUUCUGCUACAAUAAUCCAAUUUGCUACCAGAAAUGUUUUUCCUUUUGUUAAAGCCACCUAGCUCACACCAUUAACCAACUCACUUGAGAAAUAAAUGUUUUGGAUAGAAAUCACCAUGAAUUGAAUAGCAUAUGAUUUAUUUCCAUGUAUUCUCGGUGGUGUCAUUGCAAUCCUCAUUUUUCAUAUCUGUAAUUUGUUUUCCCUCAUUUUUGUUAACAUUCAUGAUAGUUCCCUGUCAUAUCAAAAUGAAAAACACACACAUAGUAACUUAACUUUCUUUGAGUGAAAGACAACCACAAGUUUGAAUAAAAUUCUGCACAUCUGCCUGAUAUUCCAAAUAAACUCUUUAAAUAGAAUUUCUUUACAUUAACUAAAUAGCUAAACUGACUCCUAAAUUUCAGCUAGUCAAUACCAUGACUUAGCUAUUAUUCUGGAGGUGACUAACCACCUACGACUGAGCAACAAGACAAAUUCAAAACAAUAAAUUAGAAAAGAACAAUGCAAUCUUGAGCUAAAAACUUGGGAUUUUUUCUCAAGACCCUGGAGGAUCUUCUCGGUGUAUCAAUUCAACACUUGUUAUUUUUUCUUGCUUUUCUUUUCCCACCAUCAUACCUGGUAUUGAUUGGUGAAUUAGAAAGUUGGUGCUACAUUCUCACAAGUCAAUAGAUCCUCUUGCAGUAAGGGGUGCUGAACUUAACUUGCUGACUUAUAGCAUCAUAUCAUUUGAUAAUAUUGUCUUGGAUGAAUUGAAUGAAAGUUUGAAUGAUCAUGGCCAACUUGUAUUCCCUUUCGUUUCAAAUAAUUGGUCUUGGUUGAUCUAUUUCCAUGUACGCAACAUCUUUAGGUAAUCCAAUUCUUGUAUAGUAGCAAUAUCUUGCUUCUCCAUUCAAAUAGCUUGGAUCACGGACAGCUUAUUCAUGAUAAUAUUGGUUUCAAAGUUGAUAAAAAAGGAAUACUUUGUAGGCACCUUUAGUUUCUUUUCUGAUUUAUGAGCAUGGUUGGAUAAAAAAGCACAUUGAAAUGAAAGGUUCAUGUUCCUUGAUUUAGUUAUUCAUAACUUGCAUAUUGAGACUGGUCACAUGAUUCUAAAUUUAUGUUCCUUUAGCACUUCAAUAUCGUAGCCAACAAGUAAGAAAGACUUAGAGAAAUGGACUUUGAAGAUUAAUUUAGAGAAAACUAAAGCUUGGGUCAGAAAAUGUUACUUAUGAAUAAAUUUCUUUGUAGAAUGCAAUGCAAUUCGGGUAGCUUUUGUUAAUCAUCUGAGCAACUUUUAGAAUCUUAUUCGAUUCUGAAAAAAAAAUAAUGAAUACUUUCUGCUUUCUUUAGGCAAUGAAAAAUCAAAUAACCAGCCAAUAUAAUACACAAUUUCACUGUUUGGGAGACUCAAGUUAUUGAUUGGGAUGUUAAUGAGCAACACAUAUUAAAUGCUAAAAGAUGUGUAAUUUUUUUUGCAUUCUACAAUCCAUUUGAUCAUCAUUGUUUUGUGAUUUUGCAAUCAUCUUUAUAUUGAAAAAGAAUGUGGUGUUGAUAUCUCAAAUCAUGGAUCGCAGUUCAAUUUUAUUUGGAAGAAAUGCUGCAAAGACACUGACAUGGAAAAUGAACCUGAAACUCAGUAAUGAUUCAUGCAUGUGAUGAUAAAUGAACUUAAUCCUCCUGUUAUAAUGAAAAGAAAAUAAUCUUUUUUGUAGUCUGGUGUGAACCUUCAAGUUGCACAAAAAAAUUAUAUGCUUGUGCCUGCUUUCACUCUAGCCUCGCACACAUUUAUUUCACAUUCUUUAACUUGCAUGAGGGUUUGACAUAGGAACCAAAAGUGGAGGAAGAUUGAUACUCUUAAUAAAACUUAAUGCAGACAAACCAAACUGCAAUCAUAUAAUGAAGAUGAUAUGCAAGGAAGUAAGUUUUAAUAAUCUCUUCGAUUUUUCUAGAUAUGCAGAGGCUUGGGCUAGUUAUGUAGGAUAGCAUUUUGUAUGUAAUCAUUUCUUUAUCUCUAUAUUUUCCUUUUGCCGAGUCUCCUCCUGAUCAUUGCCAUAAAAAAUCACUUCAACAAUUGAUUUACGGAACAUGGUCUGUGACAAGAUAUACUCGGUGAUUUCAACAUCUAUAAACAUCAUCUCUCGUAUAUUCAUUACAGCUACAGAUAGCAUUUACCACGUCUUUCAUUCUAAUAUUAUUGCAUUUUGAUUCAAUAUCUUCUGGGGUUGUCUCCAUCGACAAGGCUGUUGGGCUUAAUUCUUGAAGAGUUAAAAUGUAGUUUGUGCUUGUGUUUUGAUGUUGCUUAUUCAGAGUGUUGAUGAGUCAAUUCGAAAGCUGAUGCUGAAUUCUCACAAGUCAACGGAUCUUCAUGAGGUAAGGGGUACUAAACUCAACAUGCUGACUUAGAAAGCAUUAUAUUAUUUGAUAAUAUUGUCUUGGAUGAAUGUCUUGAAUGAGAGUUUGGAUGAUCAUGGCCAGCUUAUACUCCAUUUGAUUUCAAAUAAUUGGUCUUGGUUGAUCUAUUUCCAUGUAUUCAAUUGUGAAGUAGCAGGAUUCUUGUUUCUCUUUUGGUUUCCCAAUCACAAAAUGGGGAGGAGGAUUCCAUAAGUGGAACUAGGAUAAUGUUACUGCUAGUGCCAAUAACGUGUAAUAAUUUUAUCUCGAAUGGGUUGUAAAUAUUGGCCGCGUCGGGGCCUUGUGUGUUUGUGCUUCAACCAAGUCGAUUAUUUGAAACUAGUUAUUGAUUGGGCUACAUGGUUUCGAUCGAGCAUGAUGAGCCACUGGAGACACAGAUGGAGAAAGGCACAGGCUGGGAAACUAUCAACGUGUAGCCCGUCAUUACAUGGGAUAUAAGAUGGCCAUUUUUAUUUUUUUUAUUUUCCUGGCAUGGUUUUAGCAGUGAUAACUUGGAAACCUCAUAGCUAGCAUGAUUUCACGGUCUGUAGAUGGUUUAAUUAUGUGUCAUGAUUGAGUAUUAUUUAUGUUUCGCAUUA